CUAAUUUGGUUUCUUAUUUUUUGUUUAUAAGCUUUCAUGAUUAAAAUAACAUUAUGGAAAGUAUUUUACCAAUUUAAUUGUCUGAGCUGAGAGCUGUGCUGCAAGGUGUAUUCACUAAAAAGUUAGCAGCGGUUAAAUGAAAACUGAAUAGCUAAUUUAGGAAUAUGUGGAAUUUUAUUUAACAAUGUCGCUGUGGCCCUUUUUUUUCCUUCUUUUUCUAACCAUGGAUUUUCAGUGGCCACAAUUGAUGAAACAAGUCUUAAGUGAUUUGCAGCGCUCCACGCGGCGCUAAGAAGAUAAGAAUAUGUGUUGAC